rnacentral:rRNA from 1 species
CCAAUAGCGUAUAUUAAAGUUGUUGCAGUUAAAAAGCUCGUAGUUGAAUUUCGGGAUCAAAUUGUCGGUCGUGCCUCGGUACGUACUGGUAUUAUUGGUUCCUCCCUUCUGACGAACCACGAUGUCAUUAAUUUGGUGUCAUGGGAAAUCAGGACUGUUAAUUUGAAAAAAUUAGAGUGUUUAAAGCAGGCUCGCGCUUGAAUACAUUAGCAUGGAAUAAUGAAAUAGGCAGUUUGAUUCUAUUUUGUUGGUUUCUAGGAUCGACGUAAUGAUUAAUAGGGAUAGUUGGGGGCAUUAGUAUUCAAUUGUCAGAGGUGAAAUUCUUGGAUUUAUUGAAGACUAACUACUGCGAAAGCAUUUGCCAAGGAUGUUUUCAUUAAUCAAGAACGAAAGUUAGGGGAUCGAAGACGAUCAGAUACCGUCGUAGUCUUAACCAUAAACUAUGCCGACUAGGGAUCGGAUGAUGUUAAUUUUUUAAUGACUCAUUCGGCGCCUUACG